GACACACAAGUCAUCAGCCGUUUCCUCAAGGUCACGUCAGGUAAGUGUUUGUAAAUAAAUGUUAAUUUUAGACUAUAUUAAUUGGCAAAGACGCAAAUACUGGACGUUUUUGUAAACAUAUAAGUUAUAUAAAGGUGUGUUAUGUUAUGUGUCCGACUUAAAGUGUGUGUUAUGUUAUGUGUCCGAGUUAAAGUGGAGCUAUUUUAGUUAAGAUAAUACCGGACAGGGUUUAGGACUCCGUCUUAAUUAUAAUUGGGACAUUUUUACAAACAAACCUUAUAAAAUACAAUACUAGUGUGCAUUUUGAGACAAAACAAUAGCACUCAUAUGUUAACAGAUGUCAGUAUUUUAGUCAGUGAUAAGUCCUGUCCGAGAAAACCGCCCAAUAGUGUUUAAUUCAAUUACGUGUGAUGUCUGAGGGAAAUUUGGCAAUUUUAGGGUAUAAAAUCUUUCACCGUCAAGCUUUAUUAUAUUAAACAUGUUAUUUAUGUAUGUGUGUGUGUUUAUAUUCCUCUGUUUAUUAAACCAGAGCGGUGAUGAUGUGGAGAGGCAGAGACCACCACCAUACGCGAAGAUGAGGCUCGAGGUGUGAUAGUUAUUUUUUCAAACUGAGGAGUUCGGACUCCGGACCGGCAUUUCUGCUUGUUUGUACCCUGAGAUAACCAUGGUUAAUAAAUGGUCAGACACGUCACUGGCUUUAAAAUAUAAACCCCAUUGAUGCAAAAAGAUGCUGCAUGGAAUGACAAUGAGGUUUGGAACAGACUUGGUGAAGAACAUGGAAACAUAUCUUAAUAAAAUGGCCCCAAACAUCAUCAGGAGUGCAAAAGAAGGAAGUAAAAAACAUCUCUACGCCAAUCUCAUCGGAGAGGAAACCACAGAAGGUCUGGUGAGGAAUGCUGCACUUAUGUUAUUGUCAGCAUUAUUUCAAGAAAAUCCCAGCUUCCUACUGUAAUAGUGUAAGUAUAGUCUUCUGUAAUUUAGUUAGCAUUUGAGGCACUUUAUUUAAAGUAACAUUCAAUGCAAAUAUAAAAAUAUUACUCUGUUUACCCUUAAAUAGCAUGCAGCUCCACAUCAAUUAUUAUGAGUCUUGUUGGUUCUUGAGUGUCGCUUGCCUAGUUGUCAUACUUUAUUUGUGUUAUUAUGGGGUAAUUUUAAGUCUAUUUGAUGGCUUCUGUUAAUUGGUAAAAAGCACUUAAAAGGUGAAAUGUUUGUUUUACAGGAACCCAAAAGUCCCACAUCAACCACAGUGUUCAACGGCUCUCCUGAUCUUCUCAAAUCUGAAAGUAUCAACUUUAUAAUGGACAAUGUGAACAUAAUAUGUGGAAGACAUUGACAUCACAGGCUGUGGAAUGACUGUUUGCGUUUUUUUUCUCCUCAAUGCCCUUUUGCCAUUAAGCACACAGUGACUUUAAUUUAUAAAAUAUAUGCUUAAAUUUUAAUACCUGUACAAAACAAAUGUACAAUCAACUUGUGUAAAUUGUCAUUCUAUUUAAUAGAUUGUUCAUGAAUUGUCUUUAAAUGCAUUGUGAUUUCGGUAACACUUUACAAUAAGGUUCAUUAGUUAACAUUAGUUAAUGUAUUAACUAACUUGAACAAACCAUGAGCAAUACAUUUGUUACAGUAUUUAUUCAUCUUUGUUAAUGUUAGUUAAUAAAAAUUUAAGCUUUAAUUGCUUGUUCAUGUUAGUUCAUGACAGAGUGCAUUAACUAAUGUUAACA